GAUUAUUGAGGUUUUAAUUCUAAGAAAUACUGGUUCUUUAAAGAUAGCAAGCUAUUAGGCUAACAAACGUUAAAGAUGUUUCUAACGGUAUUAAGUAAUCAAAAUAGUUCAAUUUGAAUCUGUAUGUUCAACACUGUCUAAUUCCAAGAAGUGUAGACGAUGCACUGUUUAUUUCAUUAUUCUAAAUGGGUCAUAAAAAGUUGCGC
rnacentral:lncRNA from 1 species